UGUUGUCUAACUAAUGUGUAGGAGGAAAGUGUAGGAAAAUGUAAUGCCUCCACUGCCGCACAUCAUCAGUCACCCUUUGCUGAGUUCUUCAGACGAGUGACAUAAGCUAUGCAUGCUCCAGCUCCAUGCGCCCUGUACGGAAAAGCUGCAUGGAGAAGGGGCAGCCAGCUUCAUGCGCUGUUAUACUCGUAGAACAUAUUUUAUCACAAGAUUAUGUUGAGGGAUAAAGUCGCCGCAACAAAUGUGUUUGGAGUCCGAUUUGGUAAGGGGUAGGAUGUUGGGAGGCAGUGCAUGAAAAUCGGCAUGCAGCUGCUGUUGUGGGAGAUGAUGGUUGCUGCUGUGAAAACACAAACACAGGACAUUGUUGCCAGCUGUAUAGUUUGUACAGGCUGGUUGCUGAUUGCAUGAUAAAAAAUUCUGCAAGCAAGAAUUUAAAGGAGAGGCAAGACACUUCAUAUUUAGUGCUAUGUUAUGCCUUGAGAGAAGAGAAACCAAAGAGUCUCCCUAUUGAUGGUUUGGAAGUAAUGAAGAUUUAGCUGUCAACUCAUCAUCAGUACAAUGUAUUGUCCAAAGUGUGGUACUAAGCUAGGAGAUUUUUUUUGCUUCAAGUGAAGCUAGGAAAGAUGAUGUUGUAAGUUUUUGUG